ACCUCAGAGUCUCCAGUCUGUAGUCUGGACUCUGCAGAAAACCACACAGCUCCUUCACUCCUGAAUCCUUCAGGUCCCAGUUUUCACUCAGGUCCAGUUCUCUCAGAUGGGAGGGGUUGGACUUCAGAGCUGAGACCAGAGAAGAACAGCUGAUCUCUGACAAACUGCAGCGACUCAACCUGAAUAAAGAAUAAAAGAUGUGAGUUUAGGAGACAAAGUUCCUGCUUGAAACCAUUCAGUGUUUCAUCAUCUGUUCAGAGCUGAAGAAGGUUUAGAAUGAACAAGUUUAGAAAGUGGAAACUCCAAACACCUGAACCAACAGGAUGCAGGUUAAAAACAGUCAGAGACACAAAGAGAAAAACAGCUCUCAUUAACUUCAGUCAGUAGAAACAUCACAGAUCAUAAAACAAACUCUGAAUAAAUCUUUCUUUCUGUCUUAGUUUGAAAUAUUUAAUUUAUUUGUAGAAAUAUAAGAUGAAGAUUCAAUUCUUCCAAAGUAAAGAGUGAAUUACAAAGUGAAGGAUUUUUAAUGUGACAUUAAACCCGUUUUAAAUCUGAAGCUCAACAAGAUCCUCAGUGUGGAUCAGCAUCAAAUCUCUGAGGUCAGAUCCUCUUCAAAAUGUCCAACAUUCAAACUAAGACUGAACAGUUUGGAAGAAAUGUUUCAAAGUGUUGACUGAGGUUUAAAAUCAGAGACUGAAUCUUUGUUGGAGCAGUUGAAUGUUUUCAGUGUGAACAAAGUUUGUGUUCAGAGUUUAGAAAACUGUGUCCCACAGUUAGUGUAAUUUUGUGAAAGAGACAGUCCAACAUUGAGAGGCAGCUGACUCAGUGACUGGUCGGCUGUGUGGAGCAGAGAAAGGAGCCAGGGUUUGAACUUCUCUCUCUGCUCUGGUUUCACUUGUUCAAAGAUUUCUGUCACUGUUCAUGUCAACAGCUGAGUGGAACACUAUGAAUGUCUUCAGGAGAGACUGUGGGAAAAUGUCGUCUCCAUAUUUAAACCAUGAUCACGUCUCCUCUCUCUGACAGCAGGCUUUUCACUCGGCCUUUGACUGUGGCUGUUUGGAGCAGCUAUCAACACUUUCUCCUUCAGACCUGCUCAGAAAACAUGUUGUUGGAAAACACGUCCUGAUCUCAGUGAGACUUUCUGAAGAAAACCAGCUCAACUCACUCAAACUGCUCACACUGGAAAUGUCCACUGAGUCAAACUCAAAUGUCAUUUUCAAAAGUUUAAAACCUGUUUUCAAAUCAGAGUCAACACUUUGAAAACUUCCUUUCAACCACUGAACAGUUUUAAAGGAGAUUUUACCUCAGAAAUAUAAACCUGUCUGCAGGUUAGAGUCAACACAACUUUCACAUCAGAUUCAUCUCAGCACAGAAAGAAAAUAUGGAG